GUUUCCUGUUUGUAAUCACCUGAUUUAUUUAAGCUCACUCAGAACUCUCUGAUGGCGGGAUGUAUUGUUAGCUUGUCUGCAUGUUGAGCGUAUUAUCGGUUCCGUCUAUUGCCGUGUUUUGACCUUGCUUGUUUUUCGCGUUUAUGAAUGUUUGCUGCCUGCCCAGACCUACGCCUGGAUUAUUGACUACUGUUUUUGGAUUUCCUUUGACGUUGUUGUUUGCCUGAUGCUUGAAUUGCCUGUUUUGGAUGUUGCCUAAUAAACCAGCAUUUGGAUCUAACCUGUUUCACGUGCGUGACACACACAGUGGAACAGUUUGUCAAAUUAAUUUCUUUUUUAUCAAAUUAAAUGAACAAUAAUGAAAUCUCAUUCCAAUAUCUCAGUGUUCAACAAGAGGAGUAAAGAUUGUGUUAGGAAUCGGGGGGAGACUUUAUGGAUAAAAUCCAGAACCAAAUGCAACAAAAAACAGACGCAAGACAACCAGUAUAAAUUGGGAGCACAAUCAUUGAGACACGGAAAACGUAUGCAGAGGCGGGAUCAGAUUAAGGAUAGGGCAGGGCCAAGGCACGUGAACACAAAACAGAUAUAAAAA